AUGUCUUCUAGAGCUCUCCCGAGCACUUCAUUGGAAGUUGUUAUUUACGGUCAGCUGACAAUUAAUUCCACUGAAGUGUUUGGGGGAACUCCGGAUGUCAU
rfam:Brassica napus, WGS project CCCW01000000 data, contig: 22127